GACCACCGACCGGCAAAGGGCAUAUCGCACCGCGAGCAGCGAGGUGGAGGUGCUGCGUCAGCAUUGCAUAGUUAGGCAAACCCACCACACGCACGGCAACACCAGCAGAAGGGUAUCUUCUCCCACGUCAAUGGGCGGCAAGGCUUCGAAGGCGGAGACGGCGCUCACCCCUGAGGCGGUAGAUGCCUUGUACAGAGAGGCGUACGCGGCCGGCGCGGUCGACGCUGAUAUGUAUCACACAUCAAAACGCGAGGUGAUGCAGCAGCAGGAUGCGAUGGCAGGUAUUGGUGCGUGCAUGUUCAGUGCUUGGGUGGCAUACGUGUACGGCCGUACGACGGGCGUGCAAGCGGCCGAGGACGCGGCGGCGCUGCGCCUUGAUGCGCAGCAGCAGAUGCUUGACAAGACGAGCAAGGACCUAGCGCUGAAACUGGAAGAGAACCGUAGCCUCAUUACCGUGCGGCAAGAGCAGGAUGUCAUGAUUGCACACCAGCGCGAUGAGCUGCAACGUGCGGCGCAGCAGCGCCGCGCAAUGCAGCGGUCAAUGAACGCACUGCGGCGGCGCAACGCAUCUGUGCAGCGGCAGAUGCGAAGCCUGAAGUCCUCGCUGAGCGCUAUUCAGCUGCAGAUGUACGCCGGCAUGGCUGGCGCCGCCCUCGUCCUGGUUGCGGUAGUGUGGUCGACACGACCACUGCGCAACGGACACUGGUCAUUCCUUCCUGUCGUAGCCUCGUUGGGAGAAGAGAGGGUGAUAGGGGCAUCAGCGCCGGUGCCUGCGGUGGAGGCCGUGGAGGUCAAGGAGCAGGCGGAGUCGUAGCGGUGUAAAGCCGCGCAUAUCACGCGCUGGAAGCGAAAGGCGAGGCUGCAAUACACUGCCAGGGCGCUAUGCUGGCUUGCAGACGCGUUGCCAUGUGUGAGGCUGUGCUUGCUGUGCUCAUGGAUGAGUGUGCUCAAUGCUUGUCUGCGUGCGUCUGAGCGCCCUGUCUGCUUCCCUCAUUCCCUGCUUGCAUCAUCUUCUACACCAGACCCGCCCUUCGUGCGUGAGGAUGCCGUGCUUGCACGCAGAGAAAAGAGAGAGAGGGACAGAGGGAGAGGGGCGCAUGCGCUGACGUGGGCUGCACGCUCCUUUCCUCUUCGCCCUCUUUGUAGACCCACAUCCACACGCCGUCGAACAGGGAAUGAGAAGACAUGCUAGGGUGCACCACGUUGCUUCUGUCUUCAUUCCCUUCUCUCCCCACUUUUAUGACUGCCUGUGCUGUGUCUUCGUCCCCACCACCACC
rnacentral:misc_RNA from 1 species